rnacentral:pre_miRNA from 1 species
UUACUACUCCCUCUGGUCCAUAUUACUUGUCUUAUAUUUGUCUAGAUAUGGAUCUAGACAAAUCUAAGACAAGUAAUAUGGACCAGAGGGAGUAACAU